rnacentral:rRNA from 1 species
CCUACGGGCGGCAGCAGUGGGGAAUAUUGGACAAUGGGGGCAACCCUGAACCAGCCAUGCCGCGUGUGUGAAGAAGGCCCUCGGGUUGUAAAGCACUUUCAGUGAGGAAGAACGCCUGGUGGUUAAUACCCAUCAGGAAAGACAUCACUCACAGAAGAAGCACCGGCUAACUCCGUGCCAGCAGCCGCGGUAAUACGGAGGGUGCGAGCGUUAAUCGGAAUUACUGGGCGUAAAGCGCGCGUAGGUGGCUUGAUAAGCCGGUUGUGAAAGCCCCGGGCUCAACCUGGGAACGGCAUCCGGAACUGUCAAGCUAGAGUGCAGGAGAGGAAGGUAGAAUUCCCGGUGUAGCGGUGAAAUGCGUAGAGAUCGGGAGGAAUACCAGUGGCGAAGGCGGCCUUCUGGACUGACACUGACACUGAGGUGCGAAAGCGUGGGUAGCAAACAGGAUUAGAUACCCUUGUAGUC